ACAGAGGUCCCAAGCGUUGUUCGGAUUCACUGGGCGUAAAGGGUGCGUAGGUGGCGGAAUAAGUUCGAUGUGAAAUCUCCGGGCUUAACCCGGAAAAGGCAUUGGAUACUAUUUCGCUCGAGGGUCGGAGGGGAGACUGGAAUUCUCGGUGUAGCAGUGAAAUGCGUAGAUAUCGAGAGGAACACCAGUGGCGAAGGCGAGUCUCUGGACGACUCCUGACACUGAGGCACGAAAGCUAGGGGAUCAAACAG
rnacentral:rRNA from 1 species